ACGGGUGGUAAUGCCGGAUGCUCCAGUUGAUCGCAUGGUCUUCUGGGAAAGCUUUCGCGGUAUGGGAUGGGGUCGCGUCCUAUCAGCUUGACGGCGGGGUAACGGCCCACCGUGGCUUCGACGGGUAGCCGGCCUGAGAGGGCGACCGGCCACAUUGGGACUGAGAUACGGCCCAGACUCCUACGGGAGGCAGCAGUGGGGAAUAUUGCACAAUGGGCGCAAGCCUGAUGCAGCGACGCCGCGUGAGGGAUGGAGGCCUUCGGGUUGUAAACCUCUUUUAUCGGGGAGCAAGCGAGAGUGAGUUUACCCGUUGAAUAAGCACCGGCUAACUACGUGCCAGCAGCCGCGGUAAUACGUAGGGUGCAAGCGUUAUCCGGAAUUAUUGGGCGUAAAGGGCUCGUAGGCGGUUCGUCGCGUCCGGUGUGAAAGUCCAUCGCUUAACGGUGGAUCCGCGCCGGGUACGGGCGGGCUUGAGUGCGGUAGGGGAGACUGGAAUUCCCGGUGUAACGGUGGAAUGUGUAGAUAUCGGGAAAG
rnacentral:rRNA from 1 species